AAUCUAAUGACAAUAGAUUAGUAUUAGGCCGUAGGUGGAGUAUAGAACUAGAUAAGCUUCUAAAAUAACAGUAAUAACUAAAGAGAGAAGGCAUUAACGUGAAAUACUUAAGUGCGAAACAGAGUAUCAGUUUUUCUCGCUCUAAUUGCGUAUCGGGUUUUAUUUGUAUGUCACUAAGCCCUUGGUGGCAAACAAGUUUUCACCGCUUACUGAUAAAUUCGUGAAACCCAAGUCAAACUUAAAAAAAAUAUUUUAAGACUUUAUCCUUAUAAGAGGUGUAUUUAAAAUGUCAGUUAUGUUGAAUUGUUGCAUAAUUGCCUGUAAAAGCCGUAGUGAAUGUAAAGAACCAAACAUAACCUUUUAUCGAUAAUAAAUGGACUGAGCGUACGGGUAGACUAAACUGGCAUCCAACUCAAAACGCACGGAUAUGCUUAAGACACUUUGAAAUAAGUUGUUUUCAAAAGAAAAAAUAUACAACCACUUGCGAUACCUACACUUUGUAUACACAUGACCUGGUGAAGGCUGGUGGCGGUGGCUAGUUCAGGAGAGCGGAUGACGAGUGAAAUGGUGCGCUUUCCAGGAGGCCUACGUUCAGCAGUGGAUGGAUACAGGUUGACUAUGAUGAUGAACAAGCCAGACCUCAAUGCAAGUAUAAGCGGUUUAGAGACUGUCCACAAAGAGAGCCUGCCCGUUGCCCUUCUAAUUAUUCAAAUGUACAUUUUGCUGGUUUUUGUAAAGCAAAAAAGAGUUGAAUAAAUAAAAUACUACUGCAGUCCUGAUA